UACGGAGGGUGCAAGCGUUGCUCGGAAUUAUUGGGCGUAAAGGGUGCGUAGGUGGCGCCGUAAGUCGGAUGUGAAAUUUCGGAGCUUAACUCCGAAACUGCAUUCGAUACUGCGGUGCUUGAGGACUGGAGAGGAGACUGGAAUUCAUGGUGUAGCAGUGAAAUGCGUAGAGAUCAUGAGGAAGACCAGUGGCGAAGGCGGGUCUCUGGACAGUUCCUGACACUGAGGCACGAAGGCCAGGGGAGCAAACGGG
rnacentral:rRNA from 1 species